rnacentral:lncRNA from 1 species
AUCGGACAGAGGUCAGAUUGGUCACUUCUUUGCAAGGCUAUGUUGUAGCAGCGUCUGGCCAGGGCUUGGUCUCCCCUGACUUCUCCAACCUCCUGGUUGGUAGAGAAUUUCAAUUUCAAAUGGUAGGUUGACACCAUGGCCCGGAGAGCAUUGAGGCCAGGCCGGCCGAGGAUUGCAUUGUAGGCUAACGACACCUUCACC